CAGUCGCCGCGGUAAUACGUAGGGUGCAAGCGUUAAUCGGAAUUACUGGGCGUAAAGCGUGCGCAGGCGGUUUGUUAAGACAGAUGUGAAAUCCCCGGGCUCAACCUGGGAACUGCAUUUGUGACUGGCAAGCUAGAGUAUGGCAGAGGGGGGUGGAAUUCCGCGUGUAGCAGUGAAAUGCGUAGAUAUGCGGAGGAACACCGAUGGCGAAGGCAGCCCCCUGGGCCAAUACUGACGCUCAUGCACGAAAGCGUGAGGAGCAAACAGGAUAGAUACCCCAGUAGUCCCUGUCUCUUAUACC
rnacentral:rRNA from 1 species